rnacentral:rRNA from 1 species
UACGUAGGGGGCAAGCGUUGUCCGGAUUUAUUGGGCGUAAAGAGCGUGUAGGCGGCCAUUCAGGUCAGCUGUGAAAACUCGAGGCUCAACCUCGAGACGUCGGUUGAAACCGUUUGGCUAGAGUCCGGAAGAGGAGAGUGGAAUUCCCGGUGUAGCGGUGAAAUGCGCAGAUAUCGGGAAGAACACCAGUGGCGAAGGCGGCUCACUGGCCCGGUACUGACGCUGAGGUGCGAAAGCGUGGGGAGCAAACAGG